rnacentral:rRNA from 1 species
AUACGUAGGUGGCAAGCGUUGUCCGGAAUUAUUGGGCGUAAAGCGCAUGUAGGCGGUAAUUUAAGUCUGUCGUGAAACUGCGGGGCUCAGCCCCGUAUGGCGAUGGAAACUGGGUUACUUGAGUGCAGGAGAGGAAAGGGGAACUCCCAGUGUAGCGGUGAAAUGCGUAGAUAUUGGGAAGAACACCGGUGGCGAAGGCGCCUUUCUGGACUGUGUCUGACGCUGAGAUGCGAAAGCCAGGGUAGCGAACGGGAUUAGAUACCCCGGUAGUCCUGGCCGUAAACGAUGGGUACUAGGUGUGGGAGGUAUCGACCCCUUCCGUGCCGGAGUUAACGCAAUAAGUACCCCGCCUGGGGAGUACGGCCGCAAGGCUUAAACUCAAAUGAAUCGACGGGG